GGAUUUUAAAAUGAGCUCAAAAGUGGAGAAUAUGAAUUACUAAAGACAAGAGAAAUGGAUAUUUGGUGCUUUUCAUUUGAGAAAUUCACCGGAAGAUAUGACUUCUCAGAUUAAUGGUAGAUUCUAGAGUAGCAGUCCUUGAAUUGGAGUCUUUACCUUCGUCCUUUUGAAUAUAAAUAAAUAAAAGAACUUUUCAAUAGCCUUUUUAACGGCUAAGAUUGAGAAGGAUGAUAAUGUUAUUGAUGGUUGUUACCACAAACGACUGUAGUUGUAGCGAAGACUUACCUUACUGUUAGAGGCGGAUCCAGAAUUGAAACUCUAUGGGUUCAAGUGUUAAGGUAUUUAGCAUUACAUCUAUUAUAUUUGUUAAGUUAUGGUUUCAUGUCUACUAUCUAUUGCAAUUUUAGUGACGUUAUACACAUAAAUUUAUUAUUCACUUCGAAAGUUAUGAGUCCAAUUGAACCCGUAACUAAAGUGGUACAUCCUCCCCAGCUUACUGUCAAAACGAUCGAUGGCGAUGAUUUACUUGGCUGUUCGAACGACUUAAUUCUAGAUGUGGUAUUUUGUUCCAACAUAUCGUGAUUCUCAAUAUAUUGAUAUGAUUUCCUUAAUCAAGAUUCCAGCAGCCAUAAGUCAAGUUGUUAUUAACUUUACUAUCUUAUUUGUUCUGUGUCUCUUCUAGGCACAUGAUGUCUAAGCAAGGGUUGAAUCCGUUGUUCCCAAUGGAGGAUAUUGAAGUAAUGGGCAUUUGAAAUGGCAGUCUACAGAAGUUGUUUUCUCUUUCAAGCCUCAUGACUUUAAAGGAUUCUCCUUCCGUUUCUUAAAGCAUUUGCAGGGUGAUGAUAUGCAACUUUUAUGAGUUUGAAAUAGAUUUUUACUUUUUCCUUGUGCAGGGAGAAAAUAAGGUAUAGAAACAAAGGGAAAUCCUUUUUGCUGCAAGAUUCAUUCAACAAGAUGAUGUAUCAAAUCAGAGUCACUCUAUUUUUUCUUCUUUAAACUGUGUACCAGUGGGUCGAUGUGGAUUAAUAUAGAAAGUUGUCCUCAACUUUUAGUUAGAGGAUGAAGAUGAACUUCCUAAGUUGGACAUUCAAUUGAAGCCUCUUUACAAGUUAAAUCUUUAGUGACACAAUCUUGCGGGAAGACAGCCUCUUCAAGAAAGAAAUUUUCAUGAAAAUAUCUUUUUGUCUGGGAAUAGAAAGAGUAGGAGAUGAGUAAGAGGACUAAGAGGUUUGGAGACUCCUUAAGAAUAGUCAGAUUUAACAUAGAUGAUGAAGACUUCAGUAAGAGACGGAGAUACCUCAAAGUGAAAUGUUGAACUCUUCAGUGAUCACGUAAGAGACGCAAUGACUGUUACUCUUUUUUGCAGUAACCUACUUCCAUUGUUUCGUUGUUGAAUUACUCUAAAGUUCUGAACUUUAGAUUUAUUUAUUUUAUUAAACUCUACACAUCUAAGUUUUUAUUAGUUACUGAAGGUGUUUCACAGUC